AAAUCUGGUUGAUCCUGCCAGAGGCGACCGCUUUUGGAGUUCGAUUAAGCCAUGCGAGUAGAAAGAAAUUAGAUUCUUUGCGAACUGCUCAGUAACACGUGGAUAACCUGCCCUAUGCUCCGGAAUAACCUCGGGAAACUGAGAAUAAUACCGGAUAGAUCACAACGCCUGGAACGGUGUGUGGUUCAAAGGUCACGGCAUAGGAUGGGUCUGCGGCGUAUCAGGUCGUAGGGGGUGUAAAGGACCUCCUAGCCAUCGACGCGUACGGGUGUUGGGAGACAUAGCCCGGAGAUGGAUUCUGAGACACGAAUCCAGACCCUACGGGGUGCAGCAGGCGCGAAAACUUCACACUGC
rnacentral:rRNA from 1 species